rnacentral:rRNA from 1 species
UACGGAGGAUCCAAGCGUUAUCCGGAAUCAUUGGGUUUAAAGGGUCCGUAGGCGGUCUUGUAAGUCAGUGGUGAAAGCCCAUCGCUCAACGGUGGAACGGCCAUUGAUACUGCAGGACUUGAAUUACUGGGAAGUAACUAGAAUAUGUAGUGUAGCGGUGAAAUGCUUAGAUAUUACAUGGAAUACCAAUUGCAAAGGCAGGUUGCUACUUAUGGAUUGACGCUGAUGGACGAAAGCGUGGGGAGCGAACAGG